rnacentral:misc_RNA from 1 species
GAAAAUUGCAAAAUUGAUCCCAUUGUCAACUUCUGAAACGCCCAAGGGAACUGCUUGGCCUGGGAGUAUAUUCAACAUCGGGCCAGUGUCCAAAUUUUCAGGAGCUUCUGGCUCCAGCACACGAUUUUGAUCGCGACGACCGAAUGCACUUACAGUGCAAAGCUUGACACCUCCCUGCUUUGUCUCACUUAAAAUCUCUUGGCUGCUGCUGCUGCUUCCUGGCGCUAGCUUCCCUUGCGGCUUAAAUCGGAACUCAACGGAAUGAGCAGCUCCGGUGCAGGAUGAUGCAAAGAGAGGAAGCUGAAGAGUAGGGGAAUGGUGGAGAGGUAGAGAACGGAUCAUCUUCGAACUUCAAAGCUGGAAUGUG